UACGGAGGAUGCGAGCGUUAUCCGGAUUUAUUGGGUUUAAAGGGUGCGUAGGCGGCUUUUUAAGUCAGCGGUGAAAUUUUGCAGCUCAACUGUAAAAGUGCCUUCGAUACUGGCUUCCUUGAGUGUGGAUGAAGUAGGCGGAAUUUGUGGUGUAGCGGUGAAAUGCUUAGAUAUCACGAGGAACUCCGAUUGCGCAGGCAGCUUACUAAACCACUACUGACGCUCAUGCACGAAGGCGUGGGGAUCAAACAGGAUUAGAUACCCCU
rnacentral:rRNA from 1 species